UUAGCACAGUAUGUCUUUGAACAUAGCAUUUAAAAUACUUUCUUUUAAAGUCCUUAUGUUAUAUUGGGACAGUACACAGAAUAUGCAAAUUCUUUUUUACUGAAAAUAAGUUUUUAUUAACUAUUUGCAACAUUAUCAGCCUUCACAAAGUAAAUUGGUGUAAAGAGCCAGGGUUUAGAGGAGGAGAGUUGUUAAGCACUUCUUAUGCCUCUACAGAAAAUGAGUCAAAUUUAUGUUUUGAAUGAGGGUUUAAAAUGGACAAGCAGAAUGAUACUAUCUAAUGCUUUAGAAAAAUCAGUGUGUUGCAAUCUCACACUAACCAAUUACUGAAAAGUCUUCAACCUAAUUUAGUGAUUUUAAAAUUAUUUGUUGAUGAAAAUUGCCUGUUUUAUCUGCAAAAGUACUUGUGAAAAAGGACCGAGAUAUUUUUUGGUAAAAGGUUUGUCUUGAUCCCUCCUUUUACACUAUACAUGGUAAUGGAAGACAAUGAUACUGCAGGCAAAACUCUCAAAGGUUUUAGUGGGAAUGCUACUUGAAUACAUGCAUUAGGAGCUAGGCAGUGGGAGGGGGARGGUUUACAUAUUCUUUAUAAAUGUAAUAAAACUAUUUUAAAAGACAUAAAACAAAUUGGUAAAAGCUGCCUCUGGCAGUGAGCUGCAGUAACUUAUUCCAUCAGCUUAAAAAACAGUGUUUUCUUUGUCAAAGAGAAGGCAARUGUGAAUUUGGGAAUUCUGUGUCCUGACAUAUUUUAAUGGAUUAUUUCAUGUCCAUCCAUUUCAUAAACCUCUCACCUUUGGAUCUGUAUCACAAUUACUUCUCUCCUCAUGACCAGAGCCUGAGCGCCCUUCCCUCUGCUGUAACGAAGAUGUUCAGCGAGCUGGAGAUUGGUCUGCCGGGCAGAGCUGGAGACCCAGAGCACCACACUGUUGCUGCCGCUGUGUACUGCACGAGCAAAUGUAGUCAUUGAGGGGAAUGGAAGAGCUCCCUCGGACCGAGGGCACAGCCCACUCUGUCGUCAGAUUCCGACGCUCAGCCCACCUUCAAAGUAAAGGAGAAGUUGCAUCACAUUCUUCAUAACGGAGCCUAUGGGAAUGAAAAUUGCUCUUCUUUGSCAAAGCUUGGAAGAGCCUAGAAUGGAACAUGCAUGGAAGGCAUCAAUUGCUUUAGACUAGAAGAUGUCCAGACAGCACAAAUCUGGAC